AAUUUCUCUAUCUUUAGAAAAUGAAAUCAUAACACCUUUUCCAUGUGUCCUGCGGGCUAUUAAGGAAAAGAAAUGGAAGACAAUGAAUCAGGGAAUCCUCGUGUGGUUCUAUGACCAGAGAGUGACCUGAGACACCUUUCUACUUUCCCAGGGAGCAUGCUUGACAAAAGACAGCCGGUUGCUUUUUAGGUUUGAAAACAGGACCCUGAGUUCAAGAGUUGCAUGCU